rnacentral:rRNA from 1 species
UACGGGGGGGGCAAGCGUUGUUCGGAAUUACUGGGCGUAAAGGGCUCGUAGGUGGCCAACUAAGUCAGACGUGAAAUCCCUCAGCUUAACUGGGGAACUGCGUCUGAUACUGGAUGGCUUGAGUUCGGGAGAGGGAUGCGGAAUUCCAGGUGUAGCGGUGAAAUUCGUAGAUAUCAAGCAGAACACCUGCGGCGAAGGCGGCCUUCUGGACGAUGACUGACGCUGAGGCGCGAAAGCGUGGGGAGCAAACAGG